UACGAAGGGGGCUAGCGUUGUUCGGAAUUACUGGGCGUAAAGCGUGCGCAGGCGGCUUUCCAAGUCAGUGGUGAAAGCCCGGAGCUCAACUCCGGAAAUGCCAUUGAAACUGUGAAGCUUGAGAACGAGAGAGGUGAGUGGAAUUCCCAGUGUAGAGGUGAAAAUUCGUAGAUAUUGGGAAGAACACCGGUGGCGAAGGCGGCUCACUGGCUCAUUACUGACGCUCAGGCGCGAUAGCGUGGGGAUCAAACAGG
rnacentral:rRNA from 1 species